rnacentral:rRNA from 1 species
ACCUGCGGAGGGAUCAUUACCGAGUUUACAACUCCCAAACCCCUGUGAACAUACCACUUGUUGCCUCGGCGGAUCAGCCCGCUCCCGGUAAAACGGGACGGCCCGCCAGAGGACCCCUAAACUCUGUUUCUAUAUGUAACUUCUGAGUAAAACCAUAAAUAAAUCAAAACUUUCAACAACGGAUCUCUUGGUUCUGGCAUCGAUGAAGAACGCAGCAAAAUGCGAUAAGUAAUGUGAAUUGCAGAAUUCAGUGAAUCAUCGAAUCUUUGAACGCACAUUGCGCCCGCCAGUAUUCUGGCGGGCAUGCCUGUUCGAGCGUCAUUUCAACCCUCAAGCACAGCUUGGUGUUGGGACUCGCGUUAAUUCGCGUUCCUCAAAUUGAUUGGCGGUCACGUCGAGCUUCCAUAGCGUAGUAGUAAAACCCUCGUUACUGGUAAUCGUCGCGGCCACGCCGUUAAACCCCAACUUCUGAAUGUUGACCUCGGAUCAGGUAGGAAUACCCGCUGAACUUAAGCAUAUCAAU